GAUGAACGCUGGCGGCGUGCCUAAUACAUGCAAGUCGAGCGAACAGACGAGGAGCUUGCUCCUCUGACGUUAGCGGCGGACGGGUGAGUAACACGUGGAUAACCUACCUAUAAGACUGGGAUAACUUCGGGAAACCGGAGCUAAUACCGGAUAAUAUAUUGAACCGCAUGGUUCAAUAGUGAAAGACGGUUUUGCUGUCACUUAUAGAUGGAUCCGCGCCGCAUUAGCUAGUUGGUAAGGUAACGGCUUACCAAGGCAACGAUGCGUAGCCGACCUGAGAGGGUGAGCGGCCACACUGGAACUGAGACACGGUCCAGACUCCUACGGGAGGCAGCAGUAGGGAAUCUUCCGCAAUGGGCGAAAGCCUGACGGAGCAACGCCGCGUGAAUGAUGAAGGUCUUCGGAUCGUAAAACUCUGUUAUUAGGGAAGAACAAAUGUGUAAGUAACUAUGCACGUCUUGACGGUACCUAAUCAGAAAGCCACGGCUAACUACGUG
rnacentral:rRNA from 1 species